GCUGGAACGAGUCCUUGCUCCUCAGCAGCUGUUGGCCUCACCUUCAGGAACUAUUCCCUUCCCUCAGUCCAUCCAGGCAUGCUGCCUCUGCCUGAAGUGUCUUACUUGACUUCAAGAGAUUCUCUGGUUCAUCCUCAUUUGUCAGUUUUGGAAGUAAAACUGACAAGAAUGCUGUGCUUUGGCAAGGCCCAUGUUCUCUCAAUGGCCUUUGGACUUUCUCGACAUUUUACAUAAACAGGAAUCUGACUUGUAUUUCUGCACCUGUGGGAAGGAUAGUUCCAGAGCCAAAAGUAUCAAAGAUCUCAAGAUGACAAGUCUCAUAUCCCCCUAUUUAGAAGAGAAUGGAUAAGGCCUCAGGACAGAAAACAAAAAUAAUAUUGGCCAUAAUGCCCAGAAGUUGAUAUGAUAUUAAAGUAUACAAUUUAUAUAUAGACAAUUACAAACUCUAGAGGGAGAAAGACAGUUUAAAAUCUUUAUUAUAAUUCAAGGCUCUCCCUCUCCCUCUCCCUCUCCCUCUCCCUCUCCC
rnacentral:lncRNA from 10 species